UACAGAGGUCUCAAGCGUUGUUCGGAUUCAUUGGGCGUAAAGGGUGCGUAGGCGGCGCGGUAAGUCGGGUGUGAAAUCUUGGAGCUUAACUCCGAAACUGCAUUCGAUACUGCCGUGCUUGAGGACUGGAGAGGAGACUGGAAUUUACGGUGUAGCGGUGAAACGCGUAGAUAUCAGGAAGAACACCUAAUGGCGAAGGCAGCUCUCGUGGGACGGUACUGACGGCUGAGACGCGAAAGCGUGGGGAGCGAACAGG
rnacentral:rRNA from 1 species